CCCUUAGAUGUUCUGGGCCGCACGCGCGCUACACUGAUGCAUUCAACGAGCCUAUCCUUGACCGUCAGGUCCGGGUAAUCUUUGAAUCUGCAUCGUGACGGGGAUAGAUUAUUGCAAUUAUUAAUCUUCAACGAGGAAUGCCUAGUAGGCGCAAGUCAUCAGCUUGCGUCGAUUACGUCCCUGCCCUUUGUACACACCGCCCGUCGCUCCUACCGAUUGGGUGUGCUGGUGAAAUGUUCGGAUCGGCCGUUUGUCGCGGUUUCCGCGUCAUGUGGCUGAGAAGUUCAUUAAACCCUCCCACCUAGAGGAAGGAGAAGUCGUAACA
rnacentral:rRNA from 1 species